CUCCAGGUCACGGAUAUACAUCAACGGACCGCGACUAGAAGGAGGAACGGCGCCAGGGGCAAUGGUCCCCCCUAGCACCAGAUUCAACAGUCAGGGAAUCUAUAGCACUGACUCGAACGAGAGGACGCGGAAGGGGGUGCAACAGAAAGUAAUUCACCGAGGUUCCCGGAGCACCCCUGUCAUACGCGUAGGAUGGCCAACGUGGAGUUUUAGUCGAUUGGCAGUAGGUCCUAAGAUCCGACAAUGUGCACAAUUUCCUUUCGAUAUUCCAGUCUCGAAUAACAAAUAGCGUAAAAUACAAAGAAAUCGAUGUCUUGCGUGUUAUUACGUCAUAAUCGUGCAUUUUAAACGAAGGUGAUUAUACAGUGUAAAGUAUUUAAAGAAAAAUUACAUACAUUUCGAAAAUGUGAUCAAUCUUUCACGUAAAUGAAUCUUUUACUUCUCAUCUACGUUACCGUGGAAGAUCUGAAAGAAAACGCUCGCACUCGAGUAAUUUUUCAACGCCCAUCGAGCGUAAAAUGAGAAAAACUUGCCGGCGCAUAAUUCAUCUUUUAAUAAUUGCAGGAAAAAACGACGAUAGAAUUCUUCUUGUUGUUCGUCUUCAUUUACCAAGGAAUAAAUGGGAAAGCGAUAUUUAUCGUUCGGUUAUGGAAUUAAUUCAACGUGGAGAGUUCGAUAGCGAUAAGAAAGUAACGGAAGAAAGUAUACAACGGAAUGUAAAGGCGAAAGGCACGGGGGGAACAAUGGAAUUGCUUAUACGAGGGAACGACAAGCAGGAGGAAAGAGCGGAACGUACGAACAAAAGACGGAACACGCGAGAAGUCUGGAAGUUCGACGGGAAGCAAGAACAUAUCAGGAAUUCCUAUCGAGCAUCCACAAACCGCAGCCAGCAACCAAUUUCAAGUUUACGCGUCCAACUUUUCCGUAUCUCUUCCACGUAUCUGCCUCUGACGUUCUACCUGUUUCGACUCCGUUUCUACGUGUAUUUCUGUCUGCAUAGAAACGCUCUCCACCUAUAUACGUGUGUUUGUGCCUGUAUAUGUAUGUGUACUCGUCAAAUGUGCACCGCGCUUUAGACUUUAGCAGAAAAUACCCUCUAGCGAUACUUCCUACUUGGCAAUAAUCCUGCAAACAGUUAAUUGAAACGACCACACGAUUGAUCUUCGUUCGAAUCUCUGAUUACAGAAGAGAUCGCGAUAGCUUUCUUCGCAGUCGGCUUGCAUCUCCCACGAAAAUAAUAAAUUCAAUUUUAUAAUUGAGAUUAUUGAGAUAUGUACAAUUUUGCGUGCUGGGCUAGAUUAGCUGCGUAGUAGCGAUACACGUAUGUGAAUAUGAG